rnacentral:rRNA from 1 species
CCCUUAGAUGUCCUGGGCCGCACGCGUGCUACACUGAUGCAUACAGCGAGUACUUUCCAGCUCCGCGAGGCAGCUGGUAAUCAGCAAUAUGCAUCGUGCUGGGGAUAGAUCUUUGGAAUUAUAGAUCUUGAACGAGGAAUUCCUAGUAAGCGCAAGUCAUUAGCUUGCGCUGAUUAAGUCCCUGCCCUUUGUACACACCGCCCGUCGCUCCUACCGAUCGAAGAGUUAGGUGAAUUGUUUUGAUCGAUAAGAUUUGACUAUGGUCAACUCUCGUUGUGAAAUUCUGUGAAUCUGACUGUUUAGAGGAAGGAAAAGUCGUAACA